rnacentral:rRNA from 1 species
UACGUAGGGUGCAAGCGUUAAUCGGAAUUACUGGGCGUAAAGCGUGCGCAGGCGGCUUUGCAAGACAGAUGUGAAAUCCCCGGGCUCAACCUGGGAACUGCAUUUGUGACUGCAAGGCUGGAGUACGGUAGAGGGGGAUGGAAUUCCGCGUGUAGCAGUGAAAUGCGUAGAUAUGCGGAGGAACACCGAUGGCGAAGGCAAUCCCCUGGGCCUGUACUGACGCUCAUGCACGAAAGCGUGGGGAGCAAACAGG